GGCACCCUAGUCCCAAGUGAAAAUCCACCUGCCCAAAGUUUCCAAAAGUCUUUAAUUUCCAUUGAGUAAUACUUGCAGUGUUAGAGCAAUUGCUUCCACCCUGGACUACAGUAGUGGAAUAUGUAGACUACGAUAAACUGCUGAGGAAAAAAUUGAGGUGGAACUCAAGACUCCCAGAGAAUUUUCAAAAGACGUUAAGUGACAAGAGAUGAAAUCCAGAGUUGAUAAACAUAUAAACAAAAUUCUCUAAUUUAGCCACUUCUCACAUGACUUUUACCACCCAAAUUUAGGAGCCUCUAUUUUUGUAAAUAAAAUUUUACUGGGACACACAACAAAACUCAAACCAUUCUCAACCUCAUUAGUAAUCAGACACAUGUAACUUUAAAUUACAAUGAGCUACCCUAACACAUGUAUUAGAUUGACCAAAAUUAAAUAAUCAGAAAUACCAAGUGCUGGUACAAAUAUAAGGCAAU
rnacentral:lncRNA from 1 species